AUAAAACAUGUAUUUUUAAUCAUUGCUUUGUUUUAAAUCUUUAUUUUUUAAGAAUAAACAUUGACAAAACUGCAAGUAGUAAUGUAAUAUUGUAAAAAUAUUAAACCAGAGCUUAUGUAAAAAAAUAAACAAACUUUGUACAAUGAAACAUGUCAACAUUUCAAGCACAUUCAAAUUGACAUUCUAGUGUAAAUUACAUACCAUAACUCUUAGAUAGUAUUUACAUCACAGAGUUCUGAAUCCAACCGUUGGCUUUAUGUCCCGAUGGAGGUGGAGAAUGUCGAGAAAACCACUUUAUGCACACGAGAAGAUUUAUUUCAAAAUGCACACACAGAUUGCAAAGGCAUGACGUUGUCAUAAGUGGAAGGUCAGCGUAUGCUUUACCAGAGUAACCUGUGUUUUCACUUACGUGGAGCCAUACAGAGAACUGAGAGAAGAGGACAGGAUAACAUGAACCUAAAACAUGAAAUAUCUCCUAAAUUUCUGUAGCUACGUCCCAAAUAGGACCUUUUACCUUAUAUGGUGCACUACUUUAGGCAAGUGGCGCACUAUAUAGGGAAUAGGCUGCCAUUUGAGAUUCAUCCUGUCUAUUCUUAUGACCUAUGACUAUUCACAUUCAAAACAAACGUGAUAAAGGAAAUCUAUAGCUUGAAGAGUUGCAACUGAGGAUUCACUCCGAACAUAAGAAGGGUCAAGCAUGUGACCCGUGGAGGAACAGAUGAAAAUACCAAACGAACAACAUGGAAACCACUCUUCUCAAUGUGAAAUGCUUACAGGUUGAAAAUCAUGGAUAAUGGCCAAACUAGUGGUUACAGAAUGGACCUUUUUCACAUUGCUGGUGAAUUCAAUUGAAGUAAAAGCUGCAGUUAAGAGUUUGCUUAUCCACAGAGCACAUGUUGUGUACCCAUUCACAUUUAAUGCUCUUUUCUAUCGCAUUAUAUCUGAAAACAGACUGCCUGAUAAAAUCUUUGGUUUGCUUUCUUUUCCCUUGAAGAUUGUUUCCAUUCUAAAUGUGUUUUCUUUUAUAUUUUGGUCCUCAGGCAAAAUAUUUCUCUCUCCGUGCUCUCUCUUCCCUCUCCCCUCUCCCCUCUCUCUCCCCUCGCUUUCCCCUCUCUUUCCCCUCUCUCCCUCUCUCUCCUCUCUCUCUCGAUCUCUCGCUCCCUGUCUCUCGCUCCCUGUCUCUCGCUCCCUGUCUCUCGCUCCCUGUCUCUCGCUCCCUGUCUUUCUCUCUCUUCUCUCUCUCGCGCUCGCUCUCUCAACACUUUUUUUUUCGAC
rnacentral:lncRNA from 1 species